rnacentral:tRNA from 1 species
AGAUAUGACUCAGGCCAUUAAGUGAAAGAUGAAAUGAAGCCUACAUUCAGGUUCAGCAGGAUAAUGAUCCUUAGGACCAAGAACAGCAAUUUAAGGGACAGAUGACAUUCCAAAGUAGGAGACCCUCAUUAUACAGAAACCUGAGAUGAGUCAGUAUACCUUCGCAUAUGUUACCACCCUUCUGCUGAUUUGAAUAAGCACCAUAACAAUCCUAGUUUGACCUCAUAGGCAAAAUACUCUCUUACCCAAUACGAAGGAGGAGCUAAUGAUGUAAGCCUGACAUCUACCCACAGAGUGAGGAAGAAAGAGGUCUUUUCCCCCUCCCCACUUUCGUUUGAUUAUCAAAAUGUAGCCCUUCCAAUCCUCAGGGCAGAGCUUUGCCUGCCCAUUACUCUCUCUCACAAGCAUCCUAUCUUAAAUCUAUUUCUUGCCUAUCGCUUUGUCUCUCGCUGAAUUCCUUCUGUGCUGAGACAUGAAGAACCUCAGCUGCAGUAAGUCCAGACACCAGAUGAGUGAUUCUAAUUUAAAACAAAACCCAAAAAAACCUGUCAGUUCAAGUCCCAAUCUGGGUUUUGGCUGGAUUCAAGUCAGAGGUGCUUUCAGUUCCGCUUCAUAAAGUAUCACCAUAGGCCUCUUCCCAGACUGUCCUCUACACUUUAUACACCUACAGCCUCAAGGACCAUCUAAAACUGCCCAGAUGUAUCUCCAGUCCAGAGAUAUCUUUCCUGAGCUCCAGACCUAUAUUUCUUGCUAUUUCAUAUCUUCAUUUAGGUGUCUCAAAAGCAUCUCAGAUAUGGCACAUCCAAAAUAGCAUUCCUGACCUUGUCCUCUUCCAAAAUUCUCCAUCUCAGCAUAUCACCACCUUCCAUCCAGUUUCACAAGUAAAGUGGAAACCUGAGAAUUAUCCUUGACACAUGAUCUUCCUCAAUCCCGAUCCCUGACCAAAUCCCACAACGUGUAACUGCAAGAUCAGACUCCCUCCAUUUCUUUCCAUUUUCAAGGUCUCCCCCCUAGUAUAAGCCACUGUCACUUCCCCUCUGGGUCUAUCACCAUGGCCUCUAACUGGAGAUUCUGAGUCCUCCCUUACCCUCUUUGCUUCCUUCUUCAAACAAGCACCAAAUCCAUCAUUUGAAAAUAAAGAACUGAACUUAACACCCCCAUGAUUAAAGUCCUCCAUUGUCUUUUCAUGGUCCACGAGUUAAAGGCUAAAAUCUUUAACAUGUGCUGAAGAGCCUCAUAUAGUCUGAUGUCUACCCACUUCCACAUCUUCUGCUACCCGCCCACCGCCGUUAGCACUUCUUGCGACGAGAAUGUAUUAUUAGUCUUUUCUUUAUUGGAACACCUGUCUUCCACCCUCUUUACUUAGUUUACACCCACUUGUCCGUCAGAUGUGUACAGAGAAAAUUACCUCCUUGGGGGCAUCUUCCCAAAAUUUCCAGACUAGUCCACUGCUGAUGUCAUGCUCUUACCAUAUACUUCUGUAAUUAUUUAAUUGAUGCCCAUGUCCCUCACUAGACUAGAAACUGCAUGAGAGCAGAUGGAAUGCCUUUCUGACCCAGAAUGGUUUUUCCCAACGCUUAUCCCAGCGCUUGGAACAUAGGAGACAUUCAACAAAUUGUUUCAUUGAGCACAUACUGUGUGCCAGGCACUGUUAUGGUGGUGACACACGAUGGACAAAAGAAACCCCAGUCACUGCCCUCAUGAACCCUACAUCAUAGUAAAAGAGACAUAGGAUGAAAUAAGUAAAUAAAUACAUGACAUUAGAAAAUGAUAUAUGUUGUUAAGAAAAUAGUAGAGCAAGGAAAUGGAAAAUGUUAGGUGGUGAUGGAUUGGGGCUCUUUUUUAGGGUCUAGCAGGCUAAUUUGGAUAGAGAAUUCCUCUAUGAAGAGGUGACAUUUGAGCAGAGACUUAAAUUAAGUGAUAAAGUAACCUGGAGAGGAGCAGGGGCAGCUUUCUGGACUGAAAGCAAAUACAAAAAGGAAUGACUAUGUCUGAGGGAUAACUAAAAACUCAGUGUUGAGGAGUUCCCAUCAUGUCUCAGCAGAAAUGAAUCUGACCUGUAUCCUUGAGGACACAGGUUCAAUCCCUGGUCUUGCCAGUGAGUUAAGUUUCCAGCAUUGCCAUGAGCAGUGGUGUAGGUCACAGACGCAGCUCAGAUCCUGCGUUGCUGUGGCUGUGGUGUAGGCUUGCAGCCACUGCUCCAAUUCGACCUCUAGCCUGGGAACCUCCAUAUGCCACAGGUGUGGCUCUAAGAAAUAAAAAAAAAAAAUUUUUUUAAGUCAGUUUUGAGGGAGAGAAGUCAUGUCACACAGCAGAAAAUGAGGUUGGAGAAGGGGACUGAGCAGACCACAUAGCACCAGAAGUUCUUAUUUGAGGAUGCAGUCCUCAGAGCUGGACACUGUGUUGAGUGGAAAAUACUGAAAUAAGCAUUUUUUUCUGCAUCCAGAUCCAUGGGCUCCAAUCCUGCCUCUGCCACCAGCAGCUGAGUGAGGCUGAAAGCAAAUCAUGGUCUCUCCCUGCCCUCAUUUCCUUGUGUGAUGAAUGAGAGUUUGGGACCAGAUCAUCGCUAAUGUUCUGUCUGGAUGGAAAGUCCUUUUAUUUUUUUUAAAUGAACAUCAUUUGAUAAGAACUGGGCUAAAGGUCUUAGUCUGCCAGUACAAUUUUUUUUUUCUGAAUCUUAAUUUUAUUGUUUGAAAAAUAGAAAUAGGGAGUUUCUUAGUGGUUUAGUGGUUAGGAUUCAGCACUGUCACUGCUGUGGCCCAAAUUCAAUCACUGGUCUGGGGACGGAGAUUCCACAUCAAGUCAAGGCAUACCAUGGCCAGAAAAGAAAAGACACCGAAAUGGAAGAAGUAGAAGAGCCUUCUCUCAGGGUUGACAUGCUAACCAGAAGUCAUGGUAGGAAUGAAAGCUCUUUGUAAAUGAUAACAUGCUUUCUAAACCUGUAUCUAAAACAUACUGAAAAUUUCGCGUAUCUCAAACACUGUUGUAGGUGCCAUCUAUGUGGCAUUUCAUCCUCAAUGGCUAUCUUCAGGGAUCAGAUCUCUUUAACUGAGACUAAGAGAAAGUAAAAACCUCAAGUUGCCUCAGGCAGUUAAAUGGCAGAGUUAGCUGUGCCCCCAGAGAUGGUUGGCAUCAAGUCUUUAGGGCUCCUCACUAGAGCAGAGGGUCUAUACACCUGAGUAUAGAGGUUGGGGGUAGGGAGGCGAGGAGCUGUUUGAAGUUCAGUCCCAGGGUCACUGUUGAUGGAUAAGAAAUUUUGUUGACAGUGACACUGCAUUUGUAUUCUAGUAAAUAAGACUGCUUGAACAUCAUUUAAUCGCAAUAAUGUUUUCCAAAUUCUUAUGAAAGAAAUCUGUGGUGUGACCCUGAGUUCAUCACAGAACAACAGUCAUUCCUUCUUUUAUCUGUUCUUUCAUCUCUAGAGCAUCUACACUGUGUUAGGUCACAUCCUGGUUGCUCAUGGGACAGAAAUGAAGAAGACUCCCCUGACCUCAAGGACUGUACAGUCUCUGAGUGCACGUGGGAAUAAAAACAGCAUUACGCUGCAACAGCUGGUGUAAGCAGAGCCCAGUGCAAUGUUGAGUGAGAACUGAGGGGAAGCCAUAUGCAAAUCAGGAAGGACCUUGCACAGCAAAUGUUGCUCAGAGCUCAGAGUCUUCCCUAAUAGAAGGAAUUUAACAGCAUUAAGGAGAGGAGAGUUAUCAUCUCCCUGGCUUUGGACUCUAUCCCGCACCGCAUAAACCCUAACCUACAUAUUUAUUCUACACUUUACUAUCUGGAAAAUGAGGCCAUAUCCUCAAAUUGUUGACAUCAUUGCUGCUGACCAGCAGGAAGUCACUGCUACUUCUGCUUACCCGCUCAGCCAGAGCUCACCUCAUCAUCGCUUCCACUGAGUUAUGCAAAUUGCCAUUACUGCAUGUGCUGAGUUGGAUUGACAGUUAAAAAAUCUUCAAAAAGAUUAUACUAUGAUUUAGCCUUGAAAGGAAAAGUUAUUUGUACUCCAGAAAGCAUGGGAACAGAGCAGCAUGAUAGUGGAUACACCUGUCUCCCAGAGAGUUCUCACUCAACAUAAAAUACAAAUUCUAAAUGACAAGAAAAUAUCGUCAUACCUUUUAAUUGGCAGCACCAUCUUUUCCUAGUGGUACAUAAAAUAAUAAUACAUCUUAUAACCCCUAUCUCUUAGGCUAGGUGAGAUGUGGAAUUUCAGUUAAGCCUGGCAUGUCUUGUAUUUUUAAAAAUCACAUGACUCACAUGGAAUUGUAGACUCACUUUAUAUAAUCCAGUCUCUUCGGGGAACUCCUGCCAUCCUAUGCCUGUGCAGUUAAUUCUUUAAACCCACAUUCAAGACUCUACAUUUUUGUUCCCCCAGUGAGAUGGCAAUGUGUUAAAAUCAGCUUGGUGUUCCAGGCUGUUGAGAAAGUCUCAAAUUGUGAUUUGGUUACCUCCUAUGUUAGCCACAGCCUGUGUCAUCCGUGUUGACAAUUCCUGGUCACCCAAGGAUGAUCUUAUUAUCUAAGCACAUUAUGUAUAAGGAAUUUCACAGCUGAAGCGAGGUACAGAAUGACCUACUCUAAAACAAGAGUGAUUAACAAGUUUGGAGCCAAGCCAAACGAAAGAACAAGGUUGUUAUUGGCAUGAUUUUAAUCAUGAUAGACAAUUAGCCAAGCUUAAUUAUAUUGAGACGGAAAACCAGAAUGAGUGGCAGUAAUGAAUUUCUCUGGGAACUCUCCUGUGUCUCCAACUCAAACUGGCUGACCUAUAAAGGGUGGAAAAUGAUGAAAGAUGUUUGCCCACGUGUACAAGCUGUGUUUACCUCGAGGAGAUGUCUGUAUGGGCAAAGGGUCUGGGGGACUCCUCUUUCUGCAAGGGACUCAUCCCUGGACACAAAUGGAAUUCUCUAGUUCUACUGGCAUUUUUGCUUCAGGAAUGAGAGGCAGAAGAGAGGAAACAUAUUUUAGCUGAACUUGGGUGCAUUAAAUGUUAAUGUGAUUAUGUAGCUGGGGAUUCUUUAAAUGUUGCCCAUGGCUGAAGUAUUACUGUAGUUGCGUGUUGGCACUUUUUAGUGUUAUAAAAGCUUAAUAUUUUCAGUGACUGUGUCAAGCCCAAAUAGAACACUUGAAACUUCAGUAGAGUCAGAAAGUGAUUAGAAUGUAAAAAAAUUUUUUUAACGAUUUGACAUUCCUUGCCUCUAGGUUUAGAAAUGGAAUUUAAGAUGACACUCUCCCUAAGUCUCUAGUCUCUUUUCCCAUUAUGGAUUUUAAUUGACUUAUUAUAAUUAAAACACAGAAGAAAGAAAAGUUGUGGAGAAGAAUGGAAAUCUCUAUAGUUCAUAUAGUUCUUUAGAGUUCACAGCAUAUCCCAAUAUAUCAUCCUCACACCAAACACACACACACACACACACACACACACACACACACACAGACCUGGAAGAUGAGCUUGUCUUGUUGUAAAGAUGAAGAAGCUGGGCUUCAGAGGUUGUAAUUUAUCUCAGUCAGAUGGCAGAAAUAUACACAAGGCUUCUGAUUCCGAGACUGGGUUCUAAAAAGUAAUACAGAAAGAAAAGAAAGGCAAGGGAGGAAAAAAAGGAGGGGAGGUGGGGAAGGGAGGAAUGAAGGAAGAAUGGGGAAGGGAAGGGAGAAAAGGAAAGAAAGAAAGGAAAAGGCAGAGAAGGAACACCUUUCAGGUGAAGUUUGAGAGGGGUUUUCUAGCACGAUGGACGUUCACAGUGAGAAAGCCAAGUCAGUCCCUGUGUCUGAGAUGUGAAUAAAUUAGCCUGCCUCUUUCCCUCCCUUCCUUCCUUCCUUUUUUUCUUUCAUCUUUCCCUUUCUUACUUCUUUCUAUCUAAUACUUUUACUGUAUAUCUCCUGUGUUUCCCUAAACAAUAAUUUUCACUGGAAUUCUCCCUGCAUCCUGUGAUGAAUCAAACAUCUUUUAUCCUUGGAUACCCUUUGUAGAUCAGCCAGUUUGUGUUGGAGACCCAGAAAAAUAUGAUACAAAAUUUGAUCCUGUACACCCAUGCUUGUGGCAGCAUUAUUCACAACCAUAUCCACCAAAAGACGGAAGCAACCCAGCGUUCAUUAAUGGAUGAAUGUAUAAAAAAAGCAUAGCAUACACAUAUAAUGGAACAUUAUUCACUCUUAAAAAGGAAAGAGGUUCUCAGAGUUCCCAUCAUGGCACAGUCGAAACAAAUUCGACCAAUAACCAUGAGGUUGCAGGUUUGAUCCCUGGCCUCGCUCAGUGAGCUGUGGUGUAGGUCACAGAUGCAGCUUGGAUCCCACAUUGCUAUGGCUGUGGCAUAGGCUGGCAGCUGUAGCUCUGAUUCGACCCCAGCCUGGGAAGCUCCAUAUGCCACCAGUGUGGCCCUAAAAAGCCAAAAAAAAAAAAAAAAA